UACGUAGGGUGCAAGCGUUAAUCGGAAUUACUGGGCGUAAAGCGUGCGCAGGCGGUUAUGUAAGACAGAUGUGAAAUGCCCGGGCUUAACCUGGGAACUGCAUUUGUGACUGCAUGGCUAGAGUUUGGCAGAGGGGGGUAGAAUUCCACGUGUAGCAGUGAAAUGCGUAGAUAUCGGGAGGAAUACCAGUGGCGAAGGCGGCUUCCUGGCCUGUUCUUGACGCUGAGGCGCGAAAGCUAGGGUAGCAAACGGG
rnacentral:rRNA from 1 species